rnacentral:rRNA from 1 species
GACGAACGCUGGCGGCGUGCUUAACACAUGCAAGUCGAACGGAAAGGCCCUGCUUUUGUGGGGUGCUCGAGUGGCGAACGGGUGAGUAACACGUGAGUAACCUGCCCUUGACUUUGGGAUAACUUCAGGAAACUGGGGCUAAUACCGGAUAGGAGCUCCUGCUGCAUGGUGGGGGUUGGAAAGUUUCGGCGGUUGGGGAUGGACUCGCGGCUUAUCAGCUUGUUGGUGGGGUAGUGGCUUACCAAGGCUUUGACGGGUAGCCGGCCUGAGAGGGUGACCGGCCACAUUGGGACUGAGAUACGGCCCAGACUGCAACGGGAGGCAGCAGUGGGGAAUAUUGCACAAUGGGCGGAAGCCUGAUGCAGCAACGCCGCGUGCGGGAUGACGGCCUUGGGGUUGUAAACCGCUUUCGGCUGUGACGAAGCGUGAGUGACGGUAAUGAGUGAAGAAGCACCGGCUAACUACGUG